rnacentral:rRNA from 1 species
UACGGAGGGGGCUAGCGUUGUUCGGAAUUACUGGGCGUAAAGCGCACGUAGGCGGCUUUUUAAGUCAGAGGUGAAAGCCCGGGGCUCAACUCCGGAAUUGCCUUUGAGACUGGGAGGCUUGAUCGUCGGAGAGGUGAGUGGAAUUCCGAGUGUAGAGGUGAAAUUCGUAGAUAUUCGCAAGAACACCAGUGGCGAAGGCGGCUCACUGGCCCGAUACUGACGCUGAGGCACGAAAGCGUGGGGAGCGAACAGG